AACGCACCUUGCACUCUCUGGGUCUACUGGAGAGUAUACGUGUUUGAGUAACAGAAGUAUUCUACUCUGAGGAGUAGGAACUGAGGUCUAGCUAUGGCUAUUCCUUUAAAGUGAGGGAGUGUGUGGUAACGACCAGUGCGGUAGGAAUAGGUAGUAUUCUCCCACGAGUUGGGGCCGGAAGCACAUUUUUUUUGAGUAUUCUUUGAACAGCUCUUUUUUGGGCAGCUCUUUGAAAACGGCUCUUCUUUUGAACUUUGUUCUCAAAUCAGGUAGGACUACCCGCUGAACUUAA
rnacentral:misc_RNA from 1 species